rnacentral:rRNA from 1 species
UGCCAGCAGCCGCGGUAAUACGGAGGGGGUUAGCGUUGUUCGGAAUUACUGGGCGUAAAGCGCGCGUAGGCGGAUUGGUCAGUUAGAGGUGAAAUCCCGGGGCUCAACCCCGGAGCUGCCUUUAAUACUGCCAGUCUAGAGAUCUAGAGAGGUGAGUGGAAUUCCGAGUGUAGAGGUGAAAUUCGUAGAUAUUCGGAGGAACACCAGUGGCGAAGGCGGCUCACUGGCUAGAUACUGACGCUGAGGUGCGAAAGCGUGGGGAGCAAACAGGAUUAGAUA